CCCUUAGAUGUUCUGGGCCGCACGCGCGCUACACUGAUGAGUUCAUCGAGUUUACAACCUUGACUGAAAGGUCUGGGUAAUCUUCAAAGCUCAUCGUGAUGGGGAUAGAUGAUUGCAAUUAUUCAUCUUCAACGAGGAAUUCCUAGUAAACGCGGGUCAUCAACCCGCAUUGAUUACGUCCCUGCCCUUUGUACACACCGCCCGUCGCUACUACCGAUUGAAUGGUUUAGUGAGAUUGAGGGAGCGUUGGACUGGAAGGUUUCCUUCCUUUUUAGUGCAAACUUAAUCAAACUUGAUCAUUUAGAGGAAGUAAAAGUCGUAACA
rnacentral:rRNA from 1 species